rnacentral:lncRNA from 1 species
GCAGACGGCGGAGAGCAGAGAGGGAGCGCGCCUUGGCUCGCUGGCCUUGGCGGCGGCUCCUCAGGAGAGCUGGGGCGCCCACGAGAGGAUCCCUCACCCGGGUCUCUCCUCAGGGAUGACAUCAUCCGUCCACCUCCUUGUCUUCAAGGACCACCUCCUCUCCAUGCUGAGCUGCUGCCAAGGGGCCUGCUGCCCAUCUACACCUCACGAGGGCACUAGGAGCACGGUUUCCUGGAUCCCACCAACAUACAAAGCAGCCACUCACUGACCCCCAGGACCAGGAUGGCAAAGGAUGAAGAGGACCGGAACUGACCAGCCAGCUGUCCCUCUUACCUAAAGACUUAAACCAAUGCCCUAGUGAGGGGGCAUUGGGCAUUAAGCCCUGACCUUUGCUAUGCUCAUACUUUGACUCUAUGAGUACUUUCCUAUAAGUCUUUGCUUGUGUUCACCUGCUAGCAAACUGGAGUGUUUCCCUCCCCAAGGGGGUGUCAGUCUUUGUCGACUGACUCUGUCAUCACCCUUAUGAUGUCCUGAAUGGAAGGAUCCCUUUGGGAAAUUCUCAGGAGGGGGACCUGGGCCAAGGGCUUGGCCAGCAUCCUGCUGGCAACUCCAAGGCCCUGGGUGGGCUUCUGGAAUGAGCAUGCUACUGAAUCACCAAAGGCACGCCCGACCUCUCUGAAGAUCUUCCUAUCCUUUUCUGGGGGAAUGGGGUCGAUGAGAGCAACCUCCUAGGGUUGUUGUGAGAAUUAAAUGAGAUAAAAGAGGCCUCAGGCAGGAUCUGGCAUAGAGGAGGUGAUCAGCAAAUGUUUGUUGAAAAGGUUUGACAGGUCAGUCCCUUCCCACCCCUCUUGCUUGUCUUACUUGUCUUAUUUAUUCUCCAACAGCACUCCAGGCAGCCCUUGUCCACGGGCUCUCCUUGCAUCAGCCAAGCUUCUUGAAAGGCCUGUCUACACUUGCUGUCUUCCUUCCUCACCUCCAAUUUCCUCUUCAACCCACUGCUUCCUGACUCGCUCUACUCCGUGGAAGCACGCUCACAAAGGGCUAAUCUCGGGCCUUGUCGAAGGAAGAGGCUGCAGACGUUAAUGAGGUUAGCUGCUGGAUUCCAGUAUUCGUCGCAUAAGGAUCCUUCUUUGUCUGCGAAGGAAAAACACACUGAUUAUCAUAAUGAGGCACGUGGGCCGUGGCCCGGCUGGGUCGGCUGAAGAACUGCGGAUGGAAGCUGCGGAAGAGGCCCUGAUGGGGCCCACCAUCCCGGACCCAAGUCUUCUUCCUGGCGGGCCUCUCGUCUCCUUCCUGGUUUGGGCGGAAGCCAUCACCUGGAUGCCUACGUGGGAAGGGACCUCGAAUGUGGGACCCCAGCCCCUCUCCAGCUCGAAAUCCCUCCACAGCCACGGGGACACCCUGCACCUAUUCCCACGGGACAGGCUGGACCCAGAGACUCUGGACCCGGGGCCUCCCCUUGAGUAGAGACCCGCCCUCUGACUGAUGGACGCCGCUGACCUGGGGUCAGACCCGUGGGCUGGACCCCUGCCCACCCCGCAGGAACCCUGAGGCCUAGGGGAGCUGUUGAGCCUUCAGUGUCUGCAUGUGGGAAGUGGGCUCCUUCACCUACCUCACAGGGCUGUUGUGAGGGGCGCUGUGAUGCGGUUCCAAAGCACAGGGCUUGGCGCACCCCACUGUGCU